AUUGAACGCUGGCGGCAGGCCUAACACAUGCAAGUCGAACGAGUGGCGGACGGGUGAGAAAUGUCUGGGAAACUGCCUGAUGGAGGGGGAUAACUACUGGAAACGGUAGCUAAUACCGCAUACCAUCGGAUGUGCCCAGAUGGGAUUAGCUAGUUGGUGGGGUAAAGGCUCACCUAGGCGACGAUCCCUAGAUGGUCUGAGAGGAUGACCAGCCACACUGGAACGGAGACACGGUCCAGACUCCUACGGGAGGCAGCAGUGGGGAAUAUUGCGCAAUGGGCGCAAGCCUGAUGCAGCCAUGCCGCGUGUUUGAAGAAGGCCUUCGGGUUGUAAAGUACUUUCAUCGGGGAGGCGUUACCCAACGAGGAAGCACCGGCUAACUCCGUGCCAGCAGCCGCGGUAAUAC
rnacentral:rRNA from 1 species